rnacentral:rRNA from 1 species
UAUGUAGGGUGCGAGCGUUAAUCGGAAUUACUGGGCGUAAAGCGUGCGCAGGCGGUGAUGUAAGACCGAUGUGAAAUCCCCGGGCUCAACCUGGGAACUGCAUUUGUGACUGGCGGGCUAGAGUAUGGCAGAGGGGGGUAGAAUUCCACGUGUAGCAGUGAAAUGCGUAGAGAUGUGGAGGAACACCGAUGGCGAAGGCAGCCCCCUAGGUCAAGAUUGACGCUCAUGCACGAAAGCGUGGGGAGCAAACAGG